rnacentral:rRNA from 1 species
UACAGAGGUCCCAAGCGUUGUUCGGAUUCACUGGGCGUAAAGGGUGCGUAGGCGGUCGGGUAAGUCUGAUGUGAAAUCUCACAGCUUAACUGUGAAACUGCAUUGGAUACUAUCCGGCUCGAGGAAUGGAGGGGAGACUGGAAUACUUGGUGUAGCAGUGAAAUGCGUAGAUAUCAAGUGGAACACCAGAGGCGAAGGCGAGUCUCUGGACAUUUCCUGACGCUGAGGCACGAAAGCCAGGGGAGCAAACGGG